rnacentral:rRNA from 1 species
GACAGAGGGGGCAAGCGUUGCUCGGAAUUACUGGGCGUAAAGGGCGCGUAGGCGGGAUGGCAAGUCGGUCGUGAAAUCCCUCGGCUCAACUGAGGAGCGUCGAUCGAAACUGCCGUUCUUGAGGGUUGCAGAGGAGACUGGAAUUCCCGGUGUAGCGGUGAAAUGUGUAGAGAUCGGGAGGAACACCGGUGGCGAAGGCGGCGACCUGGGUCGAGACUGACGCUGAGGCGCGAAAGCGUGGGGAGCAAACAGG